GGGGCGGCGGAAGCUUUUCCAUGCAAGUCGAACGGUAACGCGGAGAGAAGCUUGCUUCUCUCCGGCGACGAGUCGUGAACGGGUGAGUAAUACAUCGGAACGUGUCCGCUCGUGGGGGACAACCAGCCGAAAGGUUGGCUAAUACCGCAUGAGUUCUACGGAAGAAAGAGGGGGACCCGCAAGGGCCUCUCGCGAGCGGAGCGGCCGAUGACUGAUUAGCCGGUUGGUGAGGUAACGGCUCACCAAAGCAACGAUCAGUAGCUGGUCUGAGAGGACGACCAGCCACACUGGGACUGAGACACGGCCCAGACUCCUACGGGAGGCAGCAGUGGGGAAUUUUGGACAAUGGGCGCAAGCCUGAUCCAGCUAUUCCGCGUGUGGGAUGAAGGCCCUCGGGUUGUAAACCACUUUUGUAGAGAACGAAAAGACACCUUUUAAAAAAGGGUGUUGCUGACGGUACUCUAAGAAUAAGCACCGGCUAACUACGUGCCAGCAGCCGCGGUAAUACGUAGGGUGCGAGCGUUAAUCGGAAUUACUGGGCGUAAAGGGUGCGCAGGCGGUUGAGUAAGACAGAUGUGAAAUCCCCGAGCUUAACUCGGGAAUGGCAUAUGUGACUGCUCGACUAGAGUGUGUCAGAGGGAGGUGGAAUUCCACGUGUAGCAGUGAAAUGCGUAGAUAUGUGGAAGAACACCGAUGGCGAAGGCAGCCUCCUGGGACAUAACUGACGCUCAGGCACGAAAGCGUGGGGAGCAAACAGGAUUAGAUACCCUGGUAGUCCACGCCCUAAACGAUGUUAACUAGUUGUUGGGAAGUAAAAUUCUCAGUAACGCAGCCCACGCGAGAAGUUAACCGCCUGGGAAGUACGGUCGCAAGACUAAAACUUCAAGGAAUUGACGGGGACCCGCACAAGCGGUGGAUGAUGUGGAUUAAUUCAAUGGCACGCGAAAAAC
rnacentral:rRNA from 1 species